rnacentral:rRNA from 1 species
GAUGAACGCUAGCUACAGGCUUAACACAUGCAAGUCGAGGGGCAGCAUGAACACAGCUUGCUAUGUUUGAUGGCGACCGGCGCACGGGUGCGUAACACGUAUCCAAUCUACCCAUGGCUCGGGGAUAGCCUUUCGAAAGAAAGAUUAAUACCCGACGGUCUCGGUUUAAGGCAUCUUAGACUGAGUAAAGAUUUAUCGGCGAUGGAUGAGGAUGCGUCUGAUUAGGUAGAUGGCGGGGUAACGGCCCACCAUGACUACGAUCAGUAGGGGUUCUGAGAGGAAGGUCCCCCACAUUGGAACUGAGACACGGUCCAAACUCCUACGGGAGGCAGCAGUGAGGAAUAUUGGUCAAUGGACGAGAGUCUGAACCAGCCAAGUAGCGUGAAGGAUGACUGCCCUAUGGGUUGUAAACUUCUUUUGUUUGGGAAUAAAGUUCGGGACGUGUCCCGUUUUGUAUGUACCAUUCGAAUAAGCAUCGGCUAAUUCCGUGCCAGCAGCCGCCGUAACAC